UCUACAAGCACACUGCUCAGGCUCAAACUGCCCUUUGCCUGGCCAAGGAGCUUGCAGGGUGCCUGUGUUCUCUGUGAUUUUGUUUUCAUAGAGAACAAGACUCAGAGAGCUUAAGCAAAAAGCUGGAACAGAAACACCCCUCUCCCAUCAGUGCAGAAGGUGCCCGUGUUCUCUGUGUGCAGUUGGCAUUCCACCAGCACUGCUACCUGAGAAGCCAGACAACUUGGCAGCAUAUAACCCACCCAGGAGCUGUGGCAGCUGUGGUGGCACAAGGAAAGCAGGUCUGGAUGCUGGUGAAAUCCAGAAGAAAAAAAGGAGAAAAUCCUUUAAACAAAAGCCAAGGAGAAAGGUGCUGAAGUUCAUAAUGGCUUCACCCUCUCAAGCACCUUAAGGUUUCUGAGUGCUACAAUAAGAGAGGAGAAGAGAGCUCUGGGGCUGCCUCAGCAAUCACAAAAUUAAUAACCAAAGCAAAGCCACCUCAAAUGAAGGAAAGGAGCCCCCAGCCGUGUCUUCACCCUCAGCACCCACACAUGGCCUGGUCUGAGCAGCAGUGUCAGAGAAAGCUGCUGGAAACCACUUUGUUUUCACACCUGUGAGACAAGAAGUAGACAUCGAGGGUGAUACCUGCCCCAGGGCUGUCAUCUGCACAGCAGGUCUGUCAGCAGUGGAGUUUGAGCACCAUGAGAAGGUGACCAUGGCUGGUCCGUGGUGCAGGGACAGCUCUCGUGCUCCUCAGCAAGAUGCUGCUUUAUCACAGCCCAGGCUCUGCAGAAG